GAUGAACGCUGGCGGCGUGCUUAACACAUGCAAGUCGAACGAAGUGGCGGACGGGUGAGUAACGCGUAAUCAACCUGCCCUUCAGAGGGGGACAACAGUUGGAACCGACUCCUAAUACCGCAUACUGAAGGAGGGGUUUGCGUUUGAUUAGCUAGUUGGGGGGGUAACGGCCCACCAAUGCGAAGGUCAGUAGCCGGUCUUGGGGGGUGAACGGCCACCAUGGGACUGGGAAAAGGGCCAGGCUCCUUCGGGGGGCAGGAAGGGGGGAUCUUCCCAAAUGGACGAAAGUCUGACGGCGCAACGCCGCGUGAGUUAUGACGGCCUUCGGGUUGUAAAACUCUGUUAAUCGGGGCGCGGUACCGGAAGAGAAAGCCACGGCUAACUACGUGCCAGCAGCCGCGGUAAUAC
rnacentral:rRNA from 1 species